rnacentral:rRNA from 1 species
GAUGAACGCUGGCGGCGUGCUUAACACAUGCAAGUCGAACGGUGAAGCCCAGCUUGCUGGGUGGAUCAGUGGCGAACGGGUGAGUAACACGUGAGCAACCUGCCCUGGACUCUGGGAUAAGCGCUGGAAACGGUGUCUAAUACUGGAUAUGAGCCUUUACCGCAUGGUGGGGGUUGGAAAGAUUUUUCGGUCUGGGAUGGGCUCGCGGCCUAUUAGCUUGUUGGUGAGGUAAUGGCUCACCAAGGCGUCGACGGGUAGCCUGCCUGAGAGGGUGACCGGCCACACUGGGACUGAGACAUGACGCAAAGUCGUACGGGAAGCAGCAGUGGGUAAUAUUGCACAAUGGGCGGGAGCCGGAUGCAGCAACGCCGCGUGAGGGAUGACGGCCUUCGGGUUGUAAACCUCUUUUAGCAAGGAAGAAGCGAAAGUGACGGUACUUGCAGAAAAAGCGCCGGCUAACUACGUGCCAGCAGCCGCCGCCGUAA